CCGUCGGUAGCUCAGUUGGCAGAGCGGUGGACUGUAGAUCCAUAGGUCGCUGGUUCAAUUCCGGCCCGACGGA
rnacentral:tRNA from 2 species